UCCAGACUCCUACGGGAGGCAGCAGUGGGGAAUAUUGGGCAAUGGGCGCAAGCCUGACCCAGCAACGCCGCGUGAAGGAAGAAGGCUUUCGGGUUGUAAACUUCUUUUCUCAGGGACGAAGCAAGUGACGGUACCUGAGGAAUAAGCCACGGCUAACUACGUGCCAGCAGCCGCGGUAAUACGUAGGUGGCAAGCGUUAUCCGGAUUUACUGGGUGUAAAGGGCGUGUAGGCGGGACUGCAAGUCAGAUGUGAAAAUCAUGGGCUCAACCUAUGGCCUGCAUUUGAAACUGUAGUUCUUGAGUACUGGAGAGGCAGACGGAAUUCCUAGUGUAGCGGUGAAAUGCGUAGAUAUCAGGAGGAACACCGGCGGCGAAGGCGGCCUGCUGGACCGUGACUGACGUUGAGGCUCGAGAGCGUGGGGAGCAAACAGGAUUAGAUACCCCUGUAC
rnacentral:rRNA from 1 species